rnacentral:rRNA from 1 species
GAAGCCGGAAUUGCUGUAAUGGCAGGUCAGCAUACUGCCGUGAAUACGUUCCCGGGCCUUGUACACACCGCCCGUCACACCAUGAGGGUUGGGGAUACCCGAAGCCUGUGAGCCAACAAUACGAGGCAGCAGUCGAAGGUAGAAUCAAUGAUUGGGGUGAAGUCGUAACAAGGUAUC